rnacentral:rRNA from 1 species
CCGGCGACCGGCGCACGGGUGAGUAACACGUAUGCAACCUGCCCUCCGCAGGGGGAUAACCCGGAGAAAUCCGGACUAAUACCGCGUGGUACACCAGUGGGGCAUCCCACGGGUGUUAAAAGGAAGCGAUUCCGACGGAGGAUGGGCAUGCGGCGCAUUAGCUAGUUGGCGGGGUAACGGCCCACCAAGGCGACGAUGCGUAGGGGUUCUGAGAGGAAGGUCCCCCACACUGGUACUGAGACACGGACCAGACUCCUACGGGAGGCAGCAG